ensembl:lncRNA
GAGCUAUCUCUCAAAACUGCACUUCUUCUUGCUCUUGCUUCGGCUAAGCACAUAGGGGAUUUACAUGCGUUUUCUGUGGACAGUGAUUGUAUUCGCUUUGGACCCGGUGACUCCAUCUACUCCCUUCAGAGCGCAAACUGUUUGGCUCUCUGCCCUGUCUUCUGAGUCAUCGACCUUGUGUGAUGCAGACACUCAGAUUUUGGUGUGCCCUUUCAGGGCUUUGAGGACUUACAUUGACCGUUUGGCCAGCUUACGGCAGUCUGACCAGCUUUUCGUGUGCCACUGUGGUUGUAUGAAGGGCCGGGCCGUGUCAAAACAGAGACUUUCCUACUGGAUUGUGGACGCUAUCACGGCUGCUUAUACUGUACGAGCCAAGGUUUGGAAUGCCCCUUUCACAUUAGGGCCCACACAACAAGAGCUAUCACUUCCUCAUGGGCAUGGUCAAGAGGAUAUAUGUCUUGCAGCUGACUGGUCUUCUCAGAAUACCUUUGUCAGGUUUUACAAGCUGAACGUUCAGUCCUUAGCUUCCGAAGUACUGUCGCACUUCUCUGACUUUACAAGCUGUACCACAACCUUGGAGCGCCCACAACAACUGCUCUUAUGGCUCCUAUAAAGAUUCUCUUGCAUUUUACCCUGCAUGCCAACAGAAAGUGCUCAUUCCAGUAAACACCAUAGACUCCUCUCAUCCGGAUCAUCUCUGACGAAGAGGAACGGCGACAUCUCUGGAGGUCCCUGGGGCUUGACCUUUGACCUUUCCUAUCUGGGGCUUAAACCCUGAUUUAAAGUCACAGUUUGGCCCUCAUGACUGACCCCAAACUCAAAAACCUCAUAAAGAGACAGAGUAGAGAGGCUGGACUGUCCAGUUUCAGUUACACAGGUUUAUUACUUGCCAAACACUGAAAAAAAAAAAAUUAUAAUAAUUUUUUAUAUUACUGCCAUCUCCUGUAUGAUUCAUCUUAGAGUGCAGAGCCAGUGGGAGGAAUCCGUUCAUUGAAUAUGUGCCACCUCAUUCAGCCAAAACUAAGAAUGCAGCAAU